AUAUCAAUAAGCGGAGGAAAAGAAACCAACAGGGAUUGCCCUAGUAACGGCGAGUGAAGCGGCAACAGCUCAAAUUUGAAAUCUGGCCCUAGGCCCGAGUUGUAAUUUGCAGAGGAUGCUUUUGGCAAAGCGCUUACCGAGUCCCCUGGAACGGGGCGCCACAGAGGGUGAGAGCCCCGUAUGGUAUGACGCCGAGCCUCUGUAAAGCUCCUUCGACGAGUCGAGUAGUUUGGGAAUGCUGCUCUAAAUGGGAGGUAAAUUUCUUCUAAAGCUAAAUACCGGCCAGAGACCGAUAGCGCACAAGUAGAGUGAUCGAAAGAUGAAAAGCACUUUGAAAAGAGGGUUAAAUAGCACGUGAAAUUGUUGAAAGGGAAGCGCUCGUGACCAGACUUGCGCCGGGCGGAUCAUCCAGCGUUCUCGCUGGUGCACUCCGCCCGGCUCAGGCCAGCAUCGGUUUUCGCCGGGGGACAAAAGCUUCGGGAACGUGGCUCCCUUCGGGGAGUGUUAUAGCCCGUUGCUUAAUACCCCGGCGGGGACCGAGGACCGCGCUUCGGCAAGGAUGCUGGCGUAAUGGUCAUCAGCGACCCGUCUUGAAACACGGACCGAGGAGUCAAGCAUUAGUGCGAGUGUUUGGGUGUAAAACCCGCACGCGUAAUGAAAGUGAACGUAGGUGAGAGCUUCGGCGCAUCAUCGACCGAUCCUGAUGUUUUCGGAUGGAUUUGAGUAGGAGCAUUAACGCUUGGACCCGAAAGAUGGUGAACUAUACUUGAAUAGGGUGAAGCCAGAGGAAACUCUGGUGGAGGCUCGCAGCGGUUCUGACGUGCAAAUCGAUCGUCAAAUUUGAGUAUAGGGCGAAAGACUAAUCGA
rnacentral:rRNA from 1 species